rnacentral:rRNA from 1 species
CCUACGGGGGGCAGCAGUGGGGAAUAUUGGACAAUGGGCGAAAGCCUGAUCCAGCCAUGCCGCGUGUGUGAAGAAGGCCUUCGGGUUGUAAAGCACUUUCAGUGGGGAAGAAAGCCUUGGGGCUAAUACCCUCGAGGAAGGACAUCACCCACAGAAGAAGCACCGGCUAACUCCGUGCCAGCAGCCGCGGUAAUACGGAGGGUGCGAGCGUUAAUCGGAAUUACUGGGCGUAAAGCGCGCGUAGGCGGUCUGAUAAGCCGGUUGUGAAAGCCCCGGGCUCAACCUGGGAACGGCAUCCGGAACUGUCAGGCUAGAGUGCAGGAGAGGAAGGUAGAAUUCCCGGUGUAGCGGUGAAAUGCGUAGAGAUCGGGAGGAAUACCAGUGGCGAAGGCGGCCUUCUGGACUGACACUGACGCUGAGGUGUGAAAGCGUGGGUAGCAAACAGGAUUAGAUACCCUAGUAGUC